GCCCGCCUAGCUCAAUCGGAUAGAGCGUCAGACUCUUAAUCUGAAGUGGGUUCGACCCCCACGGUGGGCU
rnacentral:tRNA from 1 species